CACGUAGGCAGCAAGCGUUGUUCGGAAUUACUGGGCGUAAAGAGUGUGUAGGCGGUGCUCCAAGUCUGGUGUGAAAUCUCCCGGCUUAACUGGGAGGGUGCAUUAGAAACUGGAAUGCUAGAGGAUGGGAGAGGUAAGCGGAAUUCCUGGUGUAGCGGUGAAAUGCGUAGAUAUCAGGAGGAACACCUGUGGUGUAGACAGCUUACUGGACCAUUUCUGACGCUGAGACACGAAAGCGUGGGUAGCAAACAGG
rnacentral:rRNA from 1 species